rnacentral:piRNA from 1 species
UACAGGUAAACGAUCCGAUGAGACUAU